rnacentral:rRNA from 1 species
GUCGAGCGAGAAGCUACCUUCGGGUAGUGGACAGCGGCGCACGGGUGAGUAACGCGUACACAAUCUACCUUAUAGAGGAGAAUAGCCCUGGGAAACUGGGAUUAAUGCUCCAUAGUAUUACACUUUGGCAUCAAGGUGUAAUUAAAGCUCCGGCGCUAUAAGAUGAGUGUGCGUACUAUUAGCUAGUUGGUAAGGUAACGGCUUACCAAGGCUACGAUAGUUAGGGGGCGUGAGAGCGUGACCCCCCACACGGGUACUGAGACACGGACCCGACUCCUACGGGAGGCAGCAGUAAGGAAUAUUGGACAAUGGGCGCAAGCCUGAUCCAGCCAUCCCGCGUGGAGGAUGACUGCCCUAUGGGUUGUAAACUCCUUUUAUUUGAGAAGAAACGCCUGGAUUUAUCCGGGCCUGACGGUAUCUUAUGAAUAAGCACCGGCUAACUCCGUGCCAGCAGCCGCGGUAAUACGGAGGGUGCAAGCGUUAUCCGGAAUCACUGGGUUUAAAGGGUGCGUAGGUGGUUUAGUAAGUCAGAUGUGAAAGCCCGGCGCUCAACGUCGGAAUUGCAUUUGAUACUGCUGAACUUGAAUCAGGUUGAGGUGGGCGGAAUGUGGCAUGUAGCG